UUUCAGAAUUAAUUUAUAUAUUUUCUGAAAUUAGUCUCCUAGUUAAACCUAAUACCCUAAGUAUAUAUAACCCAAACCUCACAAAAAAAAUCUCUCGUUACAUUAACUGAUAGUAAACCCCUCCUCUCAAUAAUCUCCGCCGUUGUCACAGUACCCUUCCUCUCGACGGAGACUACUUAGGAACCACGCGAGGAGACUACUAGUUUGAGUACGUGCGUGUUCAAGGUUGGUAAAGGUACUUGGCUACGAGUGAGGAGACGCUUAGAAUAACCACCUAGUCAAGAGACAAUUUCUAUUUCAGUUUAAGUUUAAGUUGGUUUUUGUUAUUCAUUUUAUGGGAAUUGGUUGUAGUUUUUAUGGGGCAC